rnacentral:rRNA from 1 species
GACGAACGCUGGCGGCGUGCUUAACACAUGCAAGUCGAACGGAAAGGCCCUGCUUUUGUGGGGUGCUCGAGUGGCGAACGGGUGAGUAACACGUGAGUAACCUGCCCUUGACUUUGGGAUAACUUCAGGAAACUGGGGCUAAUACCGGAUAGGAGCUCCUGCUGCAUGGGGGGGGUUGGAAAGUUUCGGCGGUUGGGGAUGGACUCGCGGCUUAUCAGCUUGUUGGUGGGGUAGUGGCUUACCAAGGCUUUGACGGGUAGCCGGCCUGAGAGGGUGACCGGCCACAUUGGGCCUGAGAUACGGCCCAGACUCCUACGGGCGGCAGCGGUGGGGAAUAUUGCACAAUGGGCGGAAGCCUGAUGCAGCAACGCCGCGUGCGGGAUGACGGCCUUCGGGUUGUAAACCGCUUUCGCCUGUGACGAAGCGUGGGUGACGGUAAUGGGUAAAGAAGCACCGGCUAACUCCGU